rnacentral:lncRNA from 1 species
UUUGUUUGGUUUUUUUUUGGUUGCAAAUGGUUACUUCUACUGAUCAAUUCCACAGCCUCUCUGGAAUUCUGACAAAUUAGUUUAGCAUCAGCUGAACCUUUUAGUUACAAUGUACCAAUAUCAAUUUUUGGAUUCUCCAACAAAGUAACUGAACUAAUUUGCAAGGUAGAAGGUUAUCCAUGUUGAUGUUGAUUAGCUAUUCACUGCCUUUGGCAUCCGCUGGUGCGGCAACUGCAGACGAUGAUUUAUAUAGUUGAAUUGUGUGUUGUGCCAACUUGAUGUAAAUUUCUUGUUUUGCUUGCUUAUGCUGUCAUCUGUAAGACACUGAAAGGCCAUGUACUUACUUUUACGUUCAUGUUCUGAUAUAAUGAAGACUGUUCCACCGAGAUGAGGGGGAAAAAUAUCGCCUGUCUCAAUUAUGGAAAAAACAAUAUAAACCUUUGAUGUCCUGCUGUCUCUGAGUCCAAUCUGUGUGCCAAGUAUUGUCUAAAUCAUUUUUAGUUGAGUUCCAUAACUAUAUUAUCUUAAAACUAGCUAUCAGAAUACUACUGGUAACUAAUGAUUUAGAGACAUAUAGGCUGAAAGACCAUUGGACAGUGAUGCGAAGAUGCUAACAAGCUGGUGCUAUUAAAAGCACAUCUCACAAUUAAUUUGCAUUUCUUACUGUUUUACAGUAGCACAUAAUAUACUCUUCUGAAAUUUUAGAGAUGCCCAAUGAAUCGCAGGUCUUGAAUCAGUUUGUCCUUCUGUACAUACAAUUUGAUAGCAUCGGGAACUAAGGAGAAGGACAAAUAUGACAUACCGGGCUGACAAUGAACACAUGUCCAAGUUGCUAUUUUCAAAUGAAUUUUAGUCUGCAGGAUGCAACCUAUCACCAGAAUCUAUUGGCAAUGAUAGGAUUUUGCAAGCAAUGACUGCUCAUGAACAGCUCACAAACAUGUUUGUAAGAUUCAGCCCUCCCAUUGACCGUCAAAAGUAUCCUAUGAGAUUAAUUAGAAUAUUAGUGUGCUGGAUUUACUUUUGUUCAUUGUGGAUGAGUAGGCAUCAUAGUCUCUAAAAUCUACAGUGCAUCAAUCUCAAUUUUUGGAUUCUCAGAAAAGUAACUGGAUUAUUCAUGUUGAUGUUGAUCAGUAAUUCAUUGUCAGGCCAAGUUGGCUAACACUGAAAUAUUGGUAGGAAGCAUAAAGGCCACAUGAGAAGAAUUGUUGUUUGGAUGUUUAAAACUACUUAUGACCUAUCUCAUUUGAUAUCUGAAAUCUGUAGGAAACUACAAAUAUAUUUCUUUAUUUUGUAACCGAAGCUUUUGACUUUUUAGGGAGGGCUCUUGUUCUUGGCAAGUAUGUGUGCAGUAGCAGAGGCAAUAUAUGUACUUUCCCUACUAUAGUUGACACCGACCUCAAUUUUUGGAUUCUCCAGAAAAGUAACUGGAUUAUUCAUGUUGAUCGUUUAGUUUGUAGUUGGCUUAUGUUGAAAUAUUAAUAGGAGGCAUACUAGAGACCCCCUUCUUUAUUGUGAACUUGCUGUUAAUUUCCUUGAUGUAAUUUUCCUGUUUCAUGUGUAGGAAUCUUAUGCUGUCAUUUGUAAGACACGGAAAGAUCAUUUACUUAUUUUUACGUUUUUCUCAUAUACUCCCUCUGUAAACAAAUAUGAGAGCAUUUAGAUCACUACUUUAGUGAUCUAAACGCUCCUAUAUAUCUUUACGGAGGGAGUAAUGACUAUUGUCAUCCACCUGGACAAAGUAAAAACAUCGAUAUGUUUCAACUAUGGGAAAAGAAAUACAACCUUUGAUUUCCUACUUUCUGGCAGUCCAUUCUGUGUAGAAAUUGUUCUCCAUGUAGACUGUAGUACGUUUGCUGCUCUACUGACUGUGUUGAGCUGCUGGUUGGUUGAGAAUGAUCAGUCGGUCAUACACUCAGUACCUGAAUGUCAAUGCAGUGUAUUAGCAUCCGAUUACAUGGUAGGUACAGUAUGUAAAAGAUUGGCAUUAUAUCUUGAAAACCAUACCUGCGCAGCCUCGAAAUAUCUCUGACGUACAGAAAUAUGUAGCAGUUUGCAAGAAUUUCUCGCGUUAACGAUGGAAAACAGGAGCCGGGCUUUUUUCUUGAUGGUUUCAGGAUAGCCUCCAUACACCUACGGGAAUCAAUAUCAGACCACCGAAAUCAGGAAGGUAACUUGAAAGGGCAAAAAUGAAGCACUCACCAGGCAAUCGUGCAGUUCAACUAUCUUUGAAUUGCUGCAGUGUCUGCAGAGCAUGAUGAUGAAAGACAGUUUCAGAAGCUAUAGAUGUUUAGCCAUCGUUGCCCGUGUACAUAGCCUGCAACACCAGUAUUUUCUUAAACAUUUGGUAUCUUUAUGUCACAAAGAGUACCGAUCUGUCAAAUUCGUUGUUUUUCAGAAAAUCUGAUUGCUGAUUGAUCCCUGCAAUGCAGCUGGCUCUCAAAGAAUGUCCAAUAAAUGGAACCAAACCGGUUUCUUCAGCCAAAUUGGCAUAUGAUCCUCCCAAGUCUCCAAAAGCAAAAUCAUGUUGUAACAAAAACACAACAUCAACUACCAUUACAUAACAGAGAUCAGACAGAUAGUUGGGACAUGCAUCAAACGAGUAACUAGUUCAGAACAGAGGCUUCCCAAAAGAUGCACCAGACCAUUGCUAUUUCAGAUCGAUCAGUCACAUGACACGGUAACAUCACCAACCCAACUACAAACUAAACGAUAUUCCACCGAUUUCCAUUGAGCAACACUAAUUCUGGGCAAACAGCACCCAACUACAGCUGCCAGAGACUGAAUCUAAGAGGAGGUGAACUUGGUGACGGCCUUGGUGCCCUCAGAGACGGCGUGCUUGGCGAGCUCUCCGGGGAGGACGAGGCGGACGGAGGUCUGGAUCUCGCGGGAGGUGAUCGUGGGCUUCUUGUUGUAGCGGGCGAGCUUGGCGGCCUCCCC